rnacentral:rRNA from 1 species
AUUGAACGCUGGCGGCAGGCCUAACACAUGCAAGUCGAGCGGAUGAAGGGAGCUUGCUCCUGGAUUCAGCGGCGGACGGGUGAGUAAUGCCUAGGAAUCUGCCUGGUAGUGGGGGAUAACGUCCGGAAACGGGCGCUAAUCCCGCAUACGUCCUGAGGGAGAAAGUGGGGGAUCUUCGGACCUCACGCUAUCAGAUGAGCCUAGGUCGGAUUAGCUAGUUGGUGGGGUAAAGGCCUACCAAGGCGACGAUCCGUAACUGGUCUGAGAGGAUGAUCAGUCACACUGGAACUGAGACACGGUCCAGACUCCUACGGGAGGCAGCAGUGGGGAAUAUUGGACAAUGGGCGAAAGCCUGAUCCAGCCAUGCCGCGUGUGUGAAGAAGGUCUUCGGAUUGUAAAGCACUGUAAGUUGGGAGGAAGGGCAGUAGGUGAAUACCUUGCUGUUUUGACGGUACCAACAGAAUAAGCACCGGCUAACUUCGUG